rnacentral:rRNA from 1 species
UACCAGACUCCUACGGGAGGCAGCAGUGAGGAAUAUUGGUCAAUGGGCGGAAGCCUGAACCAGCCAAGUCGCGUGAGGGAAGAAGGCCCUGCGGGUCGCAGACCUCUUUGGACGGGGAGCAAGGCCGCCGACGUGUCGGCGGAAGGAGAGUACCCGUAGAACAAGCAUCGGCUAACUACGUGCCAGCAGCCGCGGUAAUACGUAGGUGGCAAGCGUUAUCCGGAUUUAUUGGGUGUAAAGGGCGUGUAGGGGCGAAUGCAAGUCAGAUGUGAAAACUAUGGGCUCAACCCAUAGCCGUCAUUUGAAACUGUAUUUCUUGAGUGCUGGAGAGGCAAUCGGAAUUCCGUGUGUAGCGGUGAAAUGCGUAGAUAUACGGAGGAACACCAGUGGCGAAGGCGGAUUGCUGGACAGUAACUGACGCUGAGGCGCGAAAGCGUGGGGAGC